UACGAAGGGGGCUAGCGUUGUUCGGAAUUACUGGGCGUAAAGCGUGCGCAGGCGGUUCUCCAAGUCCGUUGGGAAAGCCCCGGGCUCAACCUGGGAAUGGCAGUGGAAACUAGGGGACUGGAAUCUGGCAGAGGGGGGUGGAAUGCCGCGUGUAGCAGUGAAAUGCGUAGAGAUGCGGCGGAACACCGAUGGCGAAGGCAGCCCCCUGGGCUGAGAUUGACGCUCAGGCACGAAAGCGUGGGGAGCAAACAGG
rnacentral:rRNA from 1 species